UAUUCCAGCUAUUCUGUGGUGUUGGCCUUGGCCAGCAUUUUGGUGGGGAAGGGUUGUGCUCCAGACCCUUCCAGCCAGCUGCCCUCACCCCUCUGCUCCACUCUUUUUUCUGGACAGUCUCCCAACAGGUUCACUCCAGCCCUCCACCCAGUUUCACCUGAGCCGCUCUUGUCACUGGACCAUGAACUUUGGGGAAGAUCAACUUUCAGAGACGGUGCAUCUCGAUGCACACUUGCCGUGAGCUGAGCCCCAGGCAGGUCUUUGCUGUCUGUAGAGACUACAGAAAGAUGCACACCUGGAAGAUCUCCAGUAGCUGGGAGAUUUAUUACAGCCUUCAUUUCAAGUCAGAACUGAUGAAUUUCAGUGGACCUGUCGAGUGGCUACAAUCUGGAGGCAUUUAUCUUUCAGGAGGAAGAGAUGGUCUCCUCUCUUUGUGUCUCUGAAAUGAUGGAGGAGGGAGACAUGCCACCCAACUGUUACAUAUCUGCGUUCAUGGUGCAGUCACACCACCCCAUUUCUGCCUUGCAAGCUGCCCCAGCAGGCCCUGGGUUAUUCCCUGCUGGACACCAUGGUUCAUGCCAAACCGGAAUGGAUGGUAAGUCAAGAGCAUCCUAGGAGAUGGGAUCAUUAAUUGA
rnacentral:lncRNA from 1 species